CUUUGCUAAAUCUGAUUUAGUUUAAAAAAAAAAAAAAGGCAGCCACUGGUAUGCUAACUAUCUUUGAAAGGUUUUCUACUACAAACACACUCAGCAAAAGGGCUUCAUCACAGCUAUGUACACACAUUAGCGCUCCGGGAGAGGACCGAGAUAUACAAAGAUAUAUUACACAGUGGGAAGAGGGCUAAUAGCACACUUUAGAAGCGGGGAAGUGAGAAGAUAUAUUGGAAGCAACAAAACAAACCCUCGUAUGUGUAAACCUACAAGAACAAUCAUAAGAACAUGAUGAUGUGGUACACUAUUCCUGUGAAAUUGCAUUUGUUGGGCAAAUCUCCAACAGAUGAAUGCUGGAGGGGCUGUGGACAAAAGGGCACCCAUAUGUGGUGUAUAUGUCCUAAGGUACAACAGUAUUGGAAGAUGGUGAAAAGGCUCUCACUAGACAUUCUCCACUGUUAUGUGGAUGUUGAACCUUGGUCCUUCUUCCAAAUCCAUUGAGGGUAUCCCCAGCGAUGCCCAAAGAUUAUUGAACAAGAUCCUGUUAGCAGCACGCAGUGCCCUGGCACACAGGUGGCUAGCAAUUUAAAUCUUCAAUAAGGAGCACGUCAUAUUAAAAUUCCAAGACAACUAUCUAAUGGUCCAAGUGUGCAGUUGUGGGAGAACUAUGAAGAGACUGAAAGCCAAGAAAAUAUAGGAAGGGAGCUGGAGUGGGUGUGGCAAGAGGGGCUGGUUUGGAUUUUAUUCUCCUAUAUCUGGUUUUCUUUAAUUCUCUUCACUGUCUACAUUGAAAGAAAUAACUUGAAAUUUAGACACAGGAAGUGCCAGACAGCAUUAAGACAGAGUAUGAUGCACACAACCAAAAAACAUUAAGUCUAAUCAGUUCUGUGCUCCUAAAAUAAAACAUUAAAUACAUUUAUAUUUUCAAUGAGAGUAUAUCUACUAAACACGGAUUUAUUUUGUAUUUGUG